UGGGGGAUAUUGCACAAUGGGGGAAACCCUGAUGCAGCGACGCCGCGUAAGGGAAGAAGGCCUUCGGGUUGUAAACCUUUGUUUUCGGUGACGAAAGAAAUGACGGUAGCCGAAGAGGAAGCUCCGGCUAACUACGUGCCAGCAGCCGCGGUAAUACGUAGGGAGCGAGCGUUGUCCGGAAUUACUGGGUGUAAAGGGUGCGUAGGCGGGGCUGCAAGUUGGAUGUGAAAUACCGGGGCUUAACCCCGGGGCUGCAUCCAAAACUGUAGCUCUUGAGUGAAGUAGAGGCAGGCGGAAUUCCGAGUGUAGCGGUGAAAUGCGUAGAUAUUCGGAGGAACACCAGUGGCGAAGGCGGCCUGCUGGGCUUUUACUGACGCUGAGGCACGAAAGCAUGGGGAGCAAACAGG
rnacentral:rRNA from 1 species